rnacentral:rRNA from 1 species
GACGAACGCUGGCGGCGUGCUUAACACAUGCAAGUCGAACGGAAAGGCCCUGCUUUUGUGGGGUGCUCGAGUGGCGAACGGGUGAGUAACACGUGAGUAACCUGCCCUUGACUUUGGGAUAACUUCAGGAAACUGGGGCUAAUACCGGAUAGGAGCUCCUGCUGCAUGGUGGGGGUUGGAAAGUUUCGGCGGUUGGGGAUGGACUCGCGGCUUAUCAGCUUGUUGGUGGGGUAGUGGAUUACCAAGGCUUUGACGGGUAGCCGGCCUGAGAGGGUGACCGGGCCCAGUGGGACAGGGGAGCCGCCAGUAGUCCUUCGGGGGGAAGGGGGGGGAGAUUGUCGAAGAAGGGCGGAGUGAGUGAGGAAGAUCGCCGGGUCGGAAAUGGCGGUCUUUGGGGUGGAACCCGUUUGCCCGUAAAGCGGCGCGUGGUGACGGGAACUGGGUAAAAAGCCACGGCUAACUACGUG